UUUGUCAUUUUUCAGUUGAAACUGAAGGGAUAUAUAAACAUCAAAUAUUAUUAUUAUAUUAUUAAUAGUUAGCUUCUCAUUUUGCCAACUCUAUGUAUACUAUAUAUGUCGGCAUGUUGUCGCCUUCCUGUUUUUGCAAUGAUAAAUGAUGAUGCAUAAAGUGUUACAUACAAAUGUUGAAUGCUAAUUAGGGGCAGCUCAACCCUUUACGAGAAAAGGUGGCCGCCUAAGACCCCAAAAUUUGAGG
rnacentral:lncRNA from 1 species